AAGAAAGUGACUGCAGCCCCGCACAGGGGCAACGCCAAUAGACCACUAAGAAAACAAGUUCCACGAAAAUCAUGCAGCAAUAACCCCAACCUCAU
rnacentral:sRNA from 1 species